UUUGCCCUCGGAUAAGUA
rnacentral:rRNA from 1 species